rnacentral:rRNA from 1 species
UACAGCCAUAUCAUGUUGAAAUAUUGGUUCCUGUACAAUCACUGAAAUUAAGCAACGUUGAGCCUGGUCAGUACCUAGAUGGGUGACCGCUUGCGAAUGCCAAGUUCUGUAA